GAUGAAGAACGCAGCGAAAUGCGAUACUUGGUGUGAAUUGCAGAAUCCCGUGAACCAUCGAGUCUUUGAACGCAAGUUGCGCCCGAAGCCACUAGGCCGAGGGCACGCCUGCCUGGGCGUCACACGUCGUUGCCCCCCCCCCAUCUACUCCUUCGGGAUUGUGGGGGGCGGAUGAUGGCCUCCCGUGCGCCUAGCCGCGCGGUUGGCAUAAAUACCAAGUCCUCGGCGACGCACGCCACGACAAUCGGUGGUUGCGAAACCUCGGUUGCCCGUCGUGUGCGUUCGUCGCGCAUCGAGGGCUCGAAAAAAUGCUCGGCUCCGGCUCGGCUUUCAACGCGACCCCAGGUCAGGCGGGGUUACCCGCUGAAUUUAAGCAUAUCAAUAAGCGGAGGA
rnacentral:misc_RNA from 1 species